AAAUGAUAAAUGCUUUCACUUACAAUGAAAUACAGAUGUGUGGAUGAGCCAAAAUUCAUUUCCUAAAGAGAUGUGCUUAGUUGUGUUGAUUUGCAUAUUUGAAUGAGAAAAUGGCCAGUAAAGAUACAAGGACAAUAAUAAGAUACCUAUCAGGAUUUGUUAUGGCUAUUCUGCUUACGCAUGCAUGUGUUGUGGAAACACAUAAUUUUACAGAAACAACCACGGCUUUCAAGUUGAGCUACAAGGAUGAGC